UCAAGGAGAGUAGAAAAUAUGUGCGGACAAUGCAUAAGAAGUGGAAGUUCGGUAGCGAAUGGUUACUACAUGCAAAGCUCUAAGCAUAGAGAAUGUGUUGAAAGUAUAGGUUCUAAAGAUGUCGUUACCCAAGAAACGCAAGUGGAUGUUCCUUUGGUGAGUUCUUAAGUGACACACAUUCAAGCUAAUAUCUAUGAAGCACUUAAGAUAGGUAUUGGAAAUGGAAGCAAAAGUGACCAAAUAAGCCGGUGCAGCCGUGCGGCGAGCGGAAGCUUGGAUCUUGAAGCAGGUGCAGGCGUGCAGCAGAAAGUGAAGGCAGCAAAAGAGAUUCUACUUCCCAUAAAAUGAAUGUGAUAAUUGGAAAGGGCCUGGAGUUGAAAAUUUGGAAUCCAUAAGCAAAAGCUGGAAAAGAUUAUUGUGGAAUGGACAGCAUGCUACUGUCUUUAAUUGCAAAAUUUGUUUCACAUUUUUUAUUUGAAUGUUGACACUUUGGCUUUGUUUUUCCUGUUUGUGUGACAUGGUGGACGUUGGUUGUGUGACUUAUCUCUGAAUU